GGGGGUGCCCAGGUUUCGACGGGGAUUGGAAGCGAAGGUGGCAUGCCGGAGUGGGCUGGCUCCGUAACAAAGCCCAACACAAACAAACGCCGACAACGACGUUCGUUACGCACUGGCGGCUUAAUUGCCGCCUCGUCUCCUGCCUGAGUGCCUGCGUAGGGCAAGAGACGUCAAUUUAGUGGGCUAGUCCCGUCAAGGUCCGUGAUGCCGGGGCGAAUUAAAGCGGAAUCGCCGUAGGGAAAUCCUGUCGGAGGGAGUGACCUGCGGUUAAACUUAAAACACCGACUACGCAUGUAGAAGCCUUACGUGAAAGAUUUUCGGACGCGGGUUCGAUUCCCGCCACCUCCACCA
rnacentral:tmRNA from 1 species